AGUGAACGCUGGCGGUAGGCCUAACACAUGCAAGUCGAACGGCAGCACAGUAAGAGCUUGCUCUUACGGGUGGCGAGUGGCGGACGGGUGAGGAAUACAUCGGAAUCUACUUUUUCGUGGGGGAUAACGUAGGGAAACUUACUCUAAUACCGCAUACGACCUACGGGUGAAAGCAGGGGAUCUUCGGACCUUGCGCGAUUGAAUGAGCCGAUGUCGGAUUAGCUAGUUGGCGGGGUAAAGGCCCACCAAGGCGACGAUCCGUAGCUGGUCUGAGAGGAUGGUCGGCCACACUGGAACUGGGACACGGUCAAGACUCCUGCGGGAGGCAGCAGUGGGGAAUAUUGGACAAUGGGCGCAAGCCUGAUCCAGCCAUGCCGCGUGGGUGAAGAAGGCGUUCGGGUUGUAAAGCCCUUUUGUUGGGAAAGAAAAGCAGCAGGUUAAGACCACGCUGUUCUGACGGUACCCAAAGAAUAAGCACCGGCUAACUUCGUG
rnacentral:rRNA from 1 species